CCAUGAAGCUGGAUUCGCUAGUAAUCGCGGAUCAGAAUGCCGCGGUGAAUACGUUCCCGGGUCUUGUACACACCGCCCGUCACACCAUGGGAGUCGGAAAUGCCCGAAGUCGGUGACCUAACUGGAAAGGAAGGAGCCGCCGAAGGCAGGUCUGGUGACUGGGGUGAAGUCGUAACAAGGUAUC
rnacentral:rRNA from 1 species